rnacentral:rRNA from 1 species
AUGUAUAGCAAUAGCUACUUGCAUCAUUGUAAAAAUGAUGCAGGAUCGACUAUGUCGAAUAAAAUUCUAGGUAGAAUUAUGAUAAUGACAUUGUCUGCCUAUGUGUCUUGACCAAAUUACGUGCCAGCAGUCGCGGUAAUACGUAGAAGACUAGUGUUAUUCAUGUUUAAUCGGUUUAAAGGGUACCUAGACGGUAAAUCAAGCCUAAAAUUAAAUGAAGGGACUAAUUUACUAGAGUUACUUAUGAGGGGGUAUUAAAGUACUGCUGGUGUAGAGAUGAAAUUCUGUCAUACCUCUUUUCAAUAGAAAAACAAUGGCACAGGUAUAGGCGAAAGCAUCCCCUUAUGUGAUAACUGACGUUGAGGGACGAAGGCUUUGUGUAGCGAACAGGAUUAGAUACCCCAGUAGUCAAAGCAGAAAAUGAUGAAUGUCAUAGAUUAGAUAAAUAAGUUUAUUCUAUAAAUGAAAGUGUAAGCAUUCCACCUCAAGAGUAAUUUGGCAACAUUGGAACUGAAAUCAUUAGACCGUUUCUGAAACCAGUAGUGAAGUAUGUUGUUUAAUUUGAUGAUCCGCAAAAAACCUUACCACAAUUUGAAUAUUUAUAUUUUUUUAUUGUUUUCUUUUUAAUUUUCUUCUGAUUUGAUUUUUCUAAAGAAAAAAAGAAAAAGAGGCGAUAUGAUAUAUUUACAAGCGUUGCACGGCUGUCUUCAGUUAAUGUCGCGAGACUUUGGUUAGUUCCAUUAAAUUAACGUAAACCCUUACUUUAUUUUUAUAUAGAGUAGUUCCCCGCUAUAUUGGAUAUGA